rnacentral:lncRNA from 1 species
GAUUUUGUCGACCAAAAAUAGACUUGUGUUCUUCAAAUGCAGAGAGUAGGGAAGUCUCUUGUAUCAAUCCCAAGUAUCUCCAAAUAAACCCUCAACAAAACCUUUCCAAUUCAAUCAACGUAAACAUUGCCUGCCCUAACAUUUUUACGUUUCUUUCAACGUGUUUUCCCUUUUAUGUUUAAUGUUUAUGAGGAAAGAUUCAACAUUUCUCGAAAUCGAAUCAUGCAUUCACCUUUAGUGGCAUAUAAGGUUUCUGAAAACUAGGGCUUAAAUCCCAAUUUCAACGAUGAAAUAUUGCACUUUUUCGAAGUUAUAAUUCAACUCAGAAAAAAUUUAGAAGUUUGAAUCCCAAUUUUCGUGAUCAAAGAUUUAAUAUAUUCAUAAAAUAAAACUUUAAUUCAUUUGACAAAGAAUUAGAAGUUGUAAUGGCUGCGAAUGAGUUACAGGGGAGUUCUUACGGUUAAGAGGAAAUCCUCGAAGGGUAAAGGGAAAGUUGUUGUUUCUAGUUCUGAAAAUAGGUUUGAGAUUUUGAAUGAUGAAUGUGAAUUGGAAUAGAUUGAUCAAGGUCAACUGGGAGAAGAUUUAGUUAAUCCUUUUUUUGGAAUGUAAGGGGUUUUAACAAUUCCCUCAAAUAGAUUAGUGUUAUGAAUAGAAUGAAGGAGUUGAGAGUUGAUGUAGUUUGUUUUUCAUUACAAUUUCAUAUAACGAGCAUAUGUAUCACCACGUUCAUUUAUAUACAUUUAUUUCAUUCAUUGUCAUGUAUUUCACAUAUUGUCGUUUGAAACAUACUCACCUUUCAUUCUUGAAUAUCGUAUACACUUCGUACGUACCUGAAUCAGAUAUACUUUCACAUAGUCAUUCAUUUCUCAAUAUUGUCCGUCGAACCGUUAGGAAUCAAUAAGGAUACUCGGAUAGUUCGGAAGCUCUUACAAUGCCAACGUCCUAGACGUGGUCUUACAUGUAAUCAAAUAUCGAUGCCACUAUCCCAGACAGGGUCUUACACGAAAUCAUAUACGAUGCCAAUGUCCCAAACAUGGUCUUACACGUAAAUCUCAAAUCGAUGCCAACGUCCCAGACGUGGUCUUACACAAAAUCACAUAUCGGAAUCCUAUGUCAUGACAUAUGUAUCCUAACUAUUCCUAUGGUUUGUACGGGACUUUCAGACGUCGUAAUUUGAUCGAUUCAAGCUCGUAUUUAAUUCUCCCAUGCUUAUAUCAAUUCGACAUGAAUACAUAUAAACAUAGUAAUUUAAUUCGACAUAUUUAAUACAUAUACAUUUAAAUUUAACGACAUUUAUUCACUUAUGAACUUACCUCGUACGGACACGAACUAACCAGACGACUAUUCGAAAAUUUUCGAUUUUUCCCCGAUCCAUAUUCGAUCUCCUCUUUUCUUGACCUAAUUCAAUUCAAAUCUGGCUUGUUUAAUAACAUAUUCAUUCAAUUUUAUCCAAAAAUACAUAAUUUGGGCAUUUUGCAUUUUAGCCCCUAACAUUUCACAUUUUUACAAUAGUCCCUAUUUCAAAAUAACACAAAUUACUCAAAAUUUCCACAAACCCAUGUUAGGCCGAAUUUACCUUAGGUCCUUAGCAGCCCAUUUAUUCAAUUUAUUUCACAAUUUGACCCUUCAAUUUACAAAUUUCACAAUUUAAUCCUUAAUACACAUUUUUAUCAAAAAUCAUUUAAUUAAACAUAUUAAUCUAUCAACAAUUAUUUAUUUUUCAUCAUCAAACAACAAAAACAUCAAGCUAUUAUCAAUGGCAAAUCACAAAUUCAUCAUAAAUUCUGAAAAUUAGGGCAUGGGCUAGCUAGAAUACGAAGCAACGAUCUCAAAAAUAUAAAAAUCAUCAAAAACCGAGCAAAGAACAUACCUAAAUUAAGAUUUAAAGGUGCCGAAAUAUUUAAGCAACCAUGGUUUCUUUUUCCUUCAACUUUCGG